rnacentral:miRNA from 1 species
CACCUCGUAGCUUGGUCACGA